rnacentral:rRNA from 1 species
GAUGAACGCUGGCGGCGUGCCUAAUACAUGCAAGUCGAGCGAACAGACGAGGAGCUUGCUCUUCUGACGUUAGCGGCGGACGGGUGAGUAACACGUGGAUAACCUACCUAUAAGACUGGGAUAACUUAGGGAAACCGGAGCUAAUACCGGAUAAUAUAUUGAACCGCAUGGUUCAAUAGUGAAAGACGGGUUUGCUGUCACUUAUAGAUGGAUCCGCGCCGCAUUAGCUAGUUGGUAAGGUAACGGCUUACCAAGGAAACGAUCCGUAGCCGGCCUCAGCGGGUGAUCGGCCACACUGGAACUGAGACACGGUCCAGACUCCUACGGGAGGCAGCAGUAGGGAAUCUGCCGCAAUGGGCGAAAGCCUGACGGAGCAACGCGGCGUGAGUGAUGAAGGUCUUCGGAUCGUAAAACUCUGUUAUUAGGGAAGAACAAAUGUGUAAGUAACUAUGCACGUCUUGACGGUACCGAAUCAGAAAGCCACGGCUAACUACGUG